rnacentral:rRNA from 1 species
UACGGAGGGUGCAAGCGUUAUCCGGAUUCACUGGGUUUAAAGGGUGCGUAGGUGGCUUUGUAAGUCAGUGGUGAAGAGCCCGGAGCUCAACUCCGGAACUGCCAUUGAUACUGCUUAGCUUGAAUCACGUCGAGGUGGAUGGAAUAAUACAUGUAGCGGUGAAAUGCUUAGAUAUGUAUUAGAACACCGAUUGCGAAGGCAGUUCACUAGGCGUGUAUUGACACUGAGGCACGAAAAGCGUGGGGAUCAAACAGG